UGAAAAAAAUGGACUUGGUGGGUCUUUGAAUUUAAAUAAAAUAAACAUGUAUAUGCAACACAAAAUAUUUAUAUUCCUUGUGUAAACAUAAUUUAAUUGAUUAUGAUGAAAAUGUUUUGUUUGAAUGUAAAAUGAACACAUUAUUCUCACAUUGAUUAAAAUUGAUUGAAUUGAAUACUUAAAGCAAUAAAAUUGAGUUUGCACACAAAAUGGCACCUCCUAAACAGAAGGUGGCAGUAACGCUCAAUAAAAAGGACGUCAAUCGCCAUAAAGGAAGAAUAAACAUCGUUUGUUUUGGGCGCCAAAAUGAAGACUCAGCAGCAGUCAGUCAGAAGAACUCUCUCAGACGGACACCACGUUAUUAAAGUAAGUUCUAUUAUUUAUUUAUGUUCACUUUAUACGUGAUACAUCUUCACUAGAUAGACAGUUUUUUUACAAUAUGUAGCCAUUGCAAUGACUUGUAGUAAAAAUGAGUUUGGAGGAUGUUGGUGGAGUAAGUUAACGUUACAGUCAGUCAGUCAGUCAGUCAGUCAGUCAGUCAGUAAGUGUAAGGCUCAUAAAGAAAAACAGCGUUUUAAAAAUGUCAGCUGUAUAACGUUAUUUCACGUUUGGUAGUUUUAUCCGAGUUGAAAACUGUCAGAUUUGAGUUGACUUUUGAGGCACUUUUUACUCAGUUGUUCUAUGGAAACGGUUCAGGACAAAUAAAACGCUAACCAAACGUUAUUCUGUCCAGAGUAACGUUAUCCAUGUAAGUAAUUUACCAGAUGAUAUCAACUGACUACAUUAAUAAUGACAUUGUAUGAAACAAACUGUCUGCUUAAUCAGAUGAACAGACCCGCGUCAGUUAUUCACGAGCAACACUUGAUUCAAUUAGAAAAAGCUUUUUUUAAAUGCCUCGCGUGACGUCUGGUAUAUUAACUGAAAAAAUUGCUUUGAAGUGGCCACACCUUAAAGCUGACGUUUUCAGAAGAGCACCUUGUUUUAAGAUCUCAUUUUGUCCAAAAUUGCGUCCUAUGACAGAUAUAAUACUUUUUUCAUUAUUGCUCUGUGUAUAUGUGACUUUAAUCAUUUGAGGUUGUGUGUUGAUUUCACCUCUGAAUAUUUCCUCUUAUAGGUCCAUCAUCCUUGCAUGCGCUACACACUCAAAAGCAUUGAUAAAUGCUGAAUUUAAAAGAAUCACUACUGUCUUAUGUUCCUGCGUGUCACCUGGACCUCUAAUCCAAAAACCUGAUGGAACUCUUCUAUCAGAAAGGAGGACAGCUAGCAAAAAGACUUCAAACAAUGAAUGAUCAAAUGACAGAAGGCAUGGAUGAAGUCAGCAUUAGUGUGGUCAUUUGAAGACACCACUGUUGGGAUUUGUGCUCUCAAACAACAUGCUUCUUGUGAUGAAGAAGAGGAUCUUUGUAUAGUCCUGGAAGGCAUGAAGGUGUUGCA